rnacentral:rRNA from 1 species
GGACUACUGGGGUUUCUAAUCCUGUUCGCUCCCCACGCUUUCGCUCCUCAGCGUCAGUACAGGCCCAGAGAACCGCCUUCGCCACCGGUGUUCCUCCCGAUAUCUGCGCAUUUCACCGCUACACCGGGAAUUCCGUUCUCCCCUGCCUGCCUCUAGCCUGCCCGUAUCCACUGCACGCCCGGGGUUAAGCCCCGGGAUUUCACAGCAGACGUGACAAGCCGCCUACGAGCUCUUUACGCCCAAUAAUUCCGGACAACGCUUGCGCCCUACGUAUUACCGCGGCUGCUGGCAC